GAUGAAGAAGGUAGCGAAAUGCGAUAAGUAAUGUGAAUUGCAGAAUUCAGUGAAUCAUCGAAUCUUUGAACGCACCUUGCGCCCUUUGGCCAUUCCGAAGGGCAUGCCUGUUUGAGUAUCAUGAACACCUCAACUCUUCAUGGUUUUCCGUGAUGAGCUUGGACUUUGGGGGUCUUGCUGGCCUAUGGUCAGCUCCUCUAAAAUAAAUCAGCUUGCCAGUGUUUGGUGGGUAUCACAGGUGUGAUAACUAUCUACGCUUGUGGUUUUCCACCAGGUAACCUUCAGCAGUGGAGGUUCGCUGGAGCUCACAGAUGUGUCUCUCCUCAGUGAGGACAGCUCUUUGAAUGUUUGAUCUCAAAUCAGGUAGGACUACCCGCUGAACUUAAGCAUAUCAAUAAGCGGAGGA
rnacentral:misc_RNA from 1 species